rnacentral:rRNA from 1 species
UGCCAGACUCCUACGGGAGGCAGCAGUGAGGAAUAUUGGUCAAUGGGCGGGAGCCUGAACCAGCCAAGUCGCGUGAGGGAUGACGGCCCUAUGGGUUGUAAACCUCUUUUGCCGGGGAGCAAGGUGCCGCACGUGUGCGGUUUGGAGAGUACCCGGAGAGAAAGCAUCGGCUAACUCCGUGCCAGCAGCCGCGGUAAUACGGAGGAUGCGAGCGUUAUCCGGAUUUAUUGGGUUUAAAGGGUGCGUAGGCGGACAGUCAAGUCAGCGGUAAAAAUGCGGUGCUCAACGCCGUACAGCCGUUGAAACUGGCAGUCUUGAGUGGGCGAGAAGUAUGCGGAAUGCGUGGUGUAGCGGUGAAAUGCAUAGAUAUCACGCAGAACUCCGAUUGCGAAGGCAGCAUACCGGCGCCCUACUGACGCUGAGGCACGAAAGCGUGGGUAUCGAACAGGAUUAGAUACCCCAGUA